UCCUCGAUGGCUCAAUCGGAUAGGGCGACUGCCAUGUAUGCAGGAGAUCCCGGGUUCGAGUCCCGGUCGGGGCA